UUCUUUACAAUGUCCAAGUGCUGUAUAUACAUGGAGUGGCUUCUUUUCAUACUCUGGCUGGACUUCUUUUGAUCCCAAACAUGGCAAACUUUGAUUUACAUCUUUGGUUGGGUUCUUGGUUCAUGGAGGUAAUUUUGUUCCAGGUGUCCUGGGGGGGUUUGUAGGCUCGCGCGCGUACAGAACUUGAGUUGCUUUGUGGUGGAGUAGUUUUGGGAGAUUAGCAUCGUGUACUCUCUUUGGUCUAAAUGUUGUAUCAUGUAUAUUACAUUUCACUCGUCUAUCAGAGAAAAAUUCUUAAAUCAUAGAGCCUUACGUUUUUCUUACAUAUGACCUCAUGGUUUGCUUGACUGCUUCUGCAAAUUAUGCUGCUCAGUUGCUGACUGCAGAAAAAACCUCCAAGUUUUUCAUGCUUGAGAUGCAACAGAGAGGCUCUAACUGCAUCGCUGUUCAACUGCGGCAGAGAUUAAUAUUCUAAAAUAUGGAUGAUGAAUCUCCCAGGUACAUGCUUCCAUCUUUAUACCGUAUCUUUAGAAUUGUUUCUUUUCCUUCCUUGCGUACAUAUUCUCUCGGUGCUGGUCAAUCUAUAUUUUGAUAUCCAAUGCUAGGUGUGUAGCCAGCUUGAUUUCUGAAUCACUUUUUUUAGCAAACCCCCUUCGAUUUCAUUGAAAGAAAUCAUAGUCUGAUUACAAACUAUUGUUAACCAAAUGAAAACCGCAAGAACCAACAACCAACAUCCAGGACUAGGUCAAUUACAAAACUGGAGGCACGAUGACCACAACAUGAACAUAACAUGAUCCAGAACCAGAGGCCAGACAAUAGGAUCAACAUAAACAUAACAUGAUCCAUGACCUACCAGCUGAAACUAUAGGAUCUCCAUCUGUCAGCCAUCAUUCCGACGAACUCCCGGCCUCCACCCUUGCGACGUCCUGUAGGCUUCAUUUGCUACUCGCUCGACUAACUUUGCUCCCAGCUUCCGCAACAUCGUUUCUGGCUCCUUUGUCUGCAAAAUUGACCAAUCGGCAAUCCACGAACGCUUCAGCCUCACAAGGGUUAUUGAUAGUUUUUCUUUCAAAUAUAAUGUCAUUUCUACAUCCUCAGAUAGUCCAAAACAUAGCAACUGCACCAACCAAAACAAGUUUCUUAUCAUGUUUAGGGAACAAUCUGAUCCAUCUACCCAAGCAAUCAGUGAGGCAAUCAGGAGUAGAAUUUUGAUCAAAGGCACAUUUCAUCAGGCUCCACAUCAAACCUCUAGCAACGGAAGAAGUAAAAAACAAAUGGUCAAUAAUAGUCUCAUCCUGACCACAAGAGGCACCAUUCUUAUUACCUUUCCAGCCCCUCUUAAGCAAAUUACCUUUAGUUAAAAUGCCUUUUCUAGUCACGAGCCAAAUAAAUAUUUUGACCUUAGCUGGGAUGAAUCACUUAUUGAUAUGAAUUUUGGAGUUAUUUCCCUCUAGGAAAUACGCACGAUGGUCGUUUAACUUUUUAUAUGUCUGCUUUUGCAUGUCCACAUGAAUAUACCAGUUCUUGUACGAACCAACCCUAUCAUUGUGGAUGCAGUGCUGGUGAAUAAAUCAUUUGUUGUUCAGGAGCCUUGUUGUAUCUUCCCGUUCAUGGCUCACACCCUCCACAUCAUUUCAGGAAUGGAAGGA
rnacentral:lncRNA from 1 species